GAGCCCAGUUUAGGGAAAAUCCCCAUUAACUCCCUUUCUCUGCAUCAUCUUCGGAUCUUCCUUGUUUUUCUGCAGAGAAACAUGGAUGGGUCUCCGAUGAACGGGCUUCCGCAUGACACCCUGCUGCUAAUCUUCUCCUCUCUCCCUCUCCGUGACAUCAUCGCCUGUCGAUCUGUCUGCAAGUCCUUCAAUCAGACUCUCACAUCAUCGUCUUUCAUGUACCUCAUUUCCACCCGACCCCCUCUCCACCUCCUCGCCCUUCGCCCUCACCACCACCACCACCACCACCGUUUCCACGCGUCCUUCCAUCCCUCCCUCCACGUUUACGAUCCCCACCACAGUAAAUGGCUCAGAUUUAGUCUCGAUUUCUUGCCUUUCAGAUCACUUCACCCGGUCGCAUCGGCGGGUGGACUCGUGUAUUUGUGGGUCGAAUCGACCAACUCUAUCGAUUCGUAUAAGUCGCUCGUGGUCUGUAACCCGUUGACUCGUCAGUAUAGAGUUCUUCCCCAGCUGGGUUCCGCCUGGUCGCGUCACGGUUCUGUACUCGUUGACUCGGUGAACCGGGUCAUGGUUCUGAGUGAACUCGCUGCCCUCUACUUCUCAGGUUCCUCAAACAAGUGGCUCAAAUUCUCCUCCAAUUUACCGUCUAAACCGCGAAGCCCAAUUUUGAUUUCUAACUCUGUGUAUGCUCUGUGCGAUGUUGGGUCUCCUUGGAGGAGUCGAUGGAAGCUAUUUACUUGCAGUCUUAACAACUCGAGCGAUCAUCGUCACAAUUGGGUCUGCCUUGAAAAAGAAGAGUGGGGAGAUAUAUUCGAUAUCGUAAAACGGCCACGUUUGGUUCGCGGGAGUGGGAGUAACACAAUUCUGAUGAUUGGAGGCCUGAAAUCAACGUUGUCACUGAACCCGUCGUGCUCCACAAUACUGAUACUGAGGUUGGAUUUGGAUAGCUUGGAGUGGGAGGAGGCAACCCGGAUGCCUGUGGAUAUGUACAGGUGUUUUCAGGAGUCAACCAAGUUCAAGGUGUUUGGUGGUGGAGAUAAGGUGUGCUUCUCUGCAAAGAGGGUAGGUAGAUUGGCAUUGUGGGAUGGUGGGGAGGGUUGGAGGUGGAUCGAUGAGAUGCCUGGAAAUGGGGAUGGACUCUCUCGCGGCUUUGUGUUUGAAGCACAACUCAAUGCAUUGCCAUGAGAUGAUGAUGACUGCACCAGAGGAUUUUAGGACUUAAGACAGAUGAAAGUAUUGAUGAUCCUCUUGUAUCUCAUGUCUGAAUGAGGGAGUUGAAUGUAGGGCUCCUUUCUACUCAGCUACUUGUUUCAUUUUCAUGCGGCUGCCACAUUGAUUUGACUUGUUAGAAGUAGCGGGGAAAGAGGUGUUUGCAUAACCUAUAGCAUACCUUGUCAACGUCAAUGAUCAUGGUUAUUCCUUUUAUAGAGGCUUUGGGACUAGUUUUAAGAAGCUCGAUUAUUCUGCCUAUGGAUGAAGUUGUUCUCAGGACCAUUGUGCUAUGGGAUUGUGACUUCUAAUUUGAGAUUCGAAAGGGGUGAAGCCUUGUUUUUUCUUUUCGUUGAAUGGAAAUAGUCUCAGACAUUUUGGUAGAUAAUUGUCAUUAUGCUACAAAGUCAUGGCAUUCUAUGCAUUGUAACAAAUUCCUUGACUCAAUUAGGCUUUCUGUAAACUAGUUGCUGCGCUUUGUUUCUGGACUUUUGUUUCCCUUUUGUUCAUUGUAUCUGUUUGUGUAGAAUUUUCCUUC